GACGAACGCUGGCGGCGUGCUUAACACAUGCAAGUCGAACGGAAAGGCCCCCUUGUGGGGUGCUCGAGUGGCGAACGGGUGAGUAACACGUGAGUAACCUGCCCCUGACUUCGGGAUAAGCCUGGGAAACUGGGUCUAAUACUGGAUAUGACCAUGGGACGCAUGUUUUGUGGUGGAAAGUUUUUUCGGUUGGGGAUGGGCUCGCGGCCUAUCAGCUUGAUGGUGGGGUGAUGGCCUACCAUGGCGACGACGGGUAGCCGGCCUGAGAGGGUGACCGGCCACACUGGGACUGAGACACGGCCCAGACUCCUGCGGGAGGCAGCAGUGGGGAAUAUUGGACAAUGGGCGGAAGCCUGAUCCAGCAACGCCGCGUGAGGGAUGACGGCCUUCGGGUUGUAAACCUCUUUCAGCACCGACGAAGCGCAAGUGACGGUAGGUGUAGAAGAAGGACCGGCCAACUACGUGCCAGCCGCCGCAGUAAAAC
rnacentral:rRNA from 1 species